ACAUUGAGCUCCUGCUGGCCUUAAUGACCAAGGACGGAAGUCGUUUGCAUUUUCACUUUGUGAACCCUGAAAUCUUCCAGAGGACAAAAUACAUGUGCCAAGAUGUUACGCUUUGCAUCUGACAAGAAUGGGAGCCCUGGAGGACUAGUUACAGCUGGCGAACCCAUCUUGGGAGUCUGCUGAGCGCCCUAAUUAAUGCCAAGUGUGCCAAAAACACAGGCAGGCUGCUGGAUUCCAUUUCAUGAUAUGGUUAGAAGGAAAAGAAAGAAAAAAAUACAAGCUAAGAAGUAGAGGUUAACUGCCUAUAUGAAAAUUUUCAAACUUUCUAAAUCCACUCUGAACAAACACUGACACCUAUUUUGUGAGACUUUUACUAAAAAUAUUAUUUAGUGUAACCUGUAGGUUCCAAAAGUUUCUCAUCUACUUCAGGAAUUUGAGUCCUACUUAUGCAAUAAAAUGAUUUAAUGUUCAUCUUAUUAAAAAAUUAAAUCUUCUGACAAGGGAACAGAAUUUUUAGGGGUUCAUGAAGCCUCUCUAUGCAUUAACUACCAUUAAUUUUCUGAAUGAAGCUUCUGGAGUUUAAUAAACUUUUAAAACUCUUCCAGAAUCCCAGAGGGUUAGAUCACAAAGGCUGCCUUUGAUAUUAGACAUAUGUUAUGAUUACUAUAUUCCAACUUUAUAAAUUUGUUGUUUCAUCUUUACAAUGUGCUCUAUUAAACUAGGAAUCUCUGCCCGUUUAUAGACUUAUGGUUCAGUGGUGAAGAGAAGUUGCCAAUCUUGCAGGGGACUCAGAUUCAGUUCCCAGCACCAACACAGUAGCAAACAGUGGUCUGUAACUCCAGUUCCAAGGGAUCCAAUGCCAUGACAGAAUCAGUUCCUGAAAGCCCAUAAGCUGGCAACCAACCCCCAUGUACAAGCCUACAGUGGGGGAAGCUCCAGUUCCAACCACAACACAUGAAACAGUAUAUUGGAAACUGAAUACUCUGAGAAUUAAGGAAUGAAUCCUCCUUGGAUGACUACAUGAAUCCAUUGCAUGGAUCUUUACAGGAGUUUAAACGGAUCCAUCCUCAAAAGGCUUUAAAGAAAGAUGUGCAUGUACCUGCCCACUGUAGUACUGUUCAAUGAUAAACAAUUUUCACUGAGCCAUGGACUACUUCAGGGCAGCCCAGGUGAGUGGGACCUGCCUGUCUUCCCAGAUGGCUGCUGCCUUCCACGAAUCAUCUUCUUUGUCACCAAAAGAUGUGAAGCCAUAAGCUUGUGGGGCAUGAUCAUGCCUGAGAGAUUAUGACUGUGUACAACAAGCAGAAGUUAAACGUUGCUUAUCGUAAAGACUCCUUGUCCUGAAAUAAGGCUCAUGACAGUGAGGACAGGUUGUUCCACCAAAGGUCUAUUAAGUCACCACUCUGAAUAUUAAUUGAAUCAUUUGAUGCUCAUCCAUUGCACCUCCAGAGUGACAUCAUUGAACUUUUGGUGAUAUAUUUCACAGUAAACAAUAAAUGCAAUCUUGGGAAGCCAUGAGCCCAGAGUGGAACAGAAACAUCCCACACAGAGUGAAGUGACAUUUCAAAUCAUCACUACAGGAUUUGCAUCCAUGCUUGACCAAGUAUUAUGUGUUUUCACAAAUACUGAUAGUGUAGAUACCUUAGUUUUAGCUCAUUUGAGCUUUAAUUCCUUUGCUUUAUCCAUUCUCUUCAUGCCAAGAGGGAAUAUUGUAUCUCAGUAAAACAUGGCCACUCCACUGACAAGAACUUAAUGCCGCUCAGGGUGACUGUGAGAACUUUACAAUUGGACCACCCAGUGGGUUUUAGAAACACAGAUAAUGGACUGGAUAGGUAUCUGCUGCUGCUUGUCCUUAUUUGAUAACAGAACAAUGUAAUGGAUUUCAGACGGGUUAUUUAUUGGAUUUUCUCUUACUGACUCUUUUAGUUGGCCUUUCCUUUUGUAUUCUAUUUCAAGGACUGAUUUAUGUCUUUGUGAAGAAGGGGAUUUCUCUUUUAUCCAGUUUAAGGUGUUUGUGUUUACAGUACCUGACAGAACUCUGAACACCAAACUAACACAUGUAGAUUCUAUAAACCUGGUGGCAAACACUAUCCUUGAAGCAGAGAUAGAACCUUCUUGUGGGAUGUCUAAACAAUCUAUUGGGUAACACACAGUCAGUGUUUAACAGCUGUGUAAUAGAUUGUAGGAAUUUUCAGUAUUAAUGCACAGUCUAGUUCUCUUGUCCAGGACAAACAAAUGUCUUGAUUGUCUCAGUCUGUAUUAGAAGGCAUCCUGAGUCCCAAGUUCUCCACCCAGAUAAUUAGAAGUCAUUUCUGAGCUCUCCAUCUCACAAAAAAAUACACAAAACUGUGUUGAGUCUUCCCGGUGUGCUGUUAGAUAUUGUCAUGUGGUGUUACCUUUUAAAGCAGCAGGUUUGAAAGUUACAUUUGUUAUUUGACCUACACACAGAAGGUAAACUUAUGACUCUCUUAAAACAAUUCUCACUACUUCCCCUCUCCAGGACCACUCACUUCAUUUCCAUGUGUCCCAAACUUGCCCAUAUUUCAAAGGGAUAGAGAAGUUCCACUAAAAUUCUGGGCUCCCACAAGAGAAUAUUCAAUUUCUACCUUUACUCAGUCAUUACACUUCUUAGAUUUUUCUUGCAAUAUUCACCAGUAAUGAAGCAUGCAAAGAAUUUUCCAGGAAGACAAUCACUGUGUCAUUGUCAUUUUCCACUAAGAUCUGAAGACAGUAAGACAUGGUGGUACAUGCCUACCACCCAAGCACUCUAAAGGAAUGAAGCAGGUUCAAGGCUUCAUCAAGGGACUCUGCCAACAACAAUAAUACUAGAAGGGCUAUGAGAUAGCUCAGUGUGUAAAUGGCUUCUCUUGCAAGCUUAAUGAUCUGAGUUUGAUCUGCCCAAACCCAUGGUGGAAAAUGUUAUGGCUGAUAGCCCAAAGUCAUUCUUUGAGCUUCACAUGUGUACUAUAGCACAUGCUCACCUAUUCCAAUACACACAACACUUAAAUACAUACAUACACCACCACCACCACCACCACUAUUGCAUGAUAUUAUUGAUAAAAACUGAUAAAAAUUUUAAAUUAAAAAACCACAAAAGUAUGAUGAAUCUUGUGAAUAAAUAAGUAGAGAAGCCAAAUAGGAUAGCAUAUAGCAACUGGAGAGGGUGUUGGAGAAUAAGAUCCAAAACCAGAGAAAGAUGAUAUAGCAUCAUAUUGUCUGCUUACAGUUCUGUUUUUAAACAGAUAAAUAUCUGUACAAACCUAUAUGCAUACACAUACAUAGAAAACUGAGGAAACAGAUUAUAUAAUUAGUAAUUCUUGUAAUAGGAUUGUGUGGGUUUUUUUUUAAUUGACUAUAUUGAAACCAUAAGAAACUCCAUAUGUAUUUUACCAGAUGCCAAGAUCCUGAGAUUGAGGGCUCUUAGUAGCUGUGACCUGGGACCUGUGUUUAAUGUCACCUUUUCUGAUGUUCUUACUCAUAUUUUGGACUUAUCUAAUUUUCAACAUGUCUUAGCUGAGGCUGGAGACCUUGGAUUUGUUAGGUUUCCCAACUGAUUCCCAGCAUCAGCCAUCUUGAGGACCACCUGUAGUUGGCAUUCUAAUCUGAUCACUUUUCCCACAUUCUGUUCAUGAAGAACUAAGAUAAUUUCUCUAGGCAUACACUCUAAGUCAUUUUAGGGCUAUCUAUAUUAUAGACUUUUGAUACCGCUUCCCCCAUGAGAUACCAGGAAUCCUGGUUGGCAUGAUCCAUUUCUGAGAGAGCAAGUGAACAUGAUGGACCUUGGGCAUUUGUAGAGUUGAUAGCUUGUGGAGAUUAUCAACUACUCAGGACAAACCAGAUAGACACCUAUGAUAAUAAAAAUUGAUAAACCAUAUAUUGGAUAAAAAGUAAAACUGUAUUUUGUUAAAUUAUAAAAAUUCAUAAUUUUGCUAAAGAGUAAAGUACAUAAAAAAUAACAUAAGUACAGCAACUUCACUCAAAAAAAAAUAACAACCAUUAAAAGGAAGCUGUAAGCACUGACAUGGCUCUCUAUUUGAAAGUUUCAUUUUCUCUCACCUAGUACUUAAAUCUUUCUAUUGUUGGGUUUUUGUUUAUCUGUUUUUCAUUACGUUCAGCCCUGAUUUUGGUUAUUAAUUCCUAUCUACCUUUUGGCUUGUUUAUUCAUGGUUUUCCAAGGCUCUCAGUUGCAUCACUAAGUUGUUAAUUGAGAUCUCAUAAUUUUUGAUGUAGGCACAUGAUGUAAUUAACAUUUCUCUUAGGACCACUUUCAUUGUGUCCUAUAGAUUUUGCUAUGUUGGGUCAUUUUCAUUCAAUUCCAGGAAUCUUUUGAAUUUCCUUCUUAACUGAUUGUUGGCACAGUUAUUAUUCAGUUGUAUGUUGUUCAGUCUCCAUGAGUCUGUACACAUUCUGUAGUUUCUAUUGCUGUUGAUAUCCAGCUUUGUUCAACCUUAGUCAGGUAGAGUGUAGGAUAUUAUUUCAAUUUUCUUAUGUUUAUUGAGAUUUGCAUUGUUCUGUUCCAAAUAUGUGGUCAAUUAUGGAGAGAGUUCAAUGAGUUGCUAAGAAAAAGGGUAUUCUUUAGUGUUUGGGUUCUCUAUGUAUGUUUUAGGUCCAUUUGAUUAUUUCAUUUAAUACCUGAAUUUCUCAGUUUAGACUUUUAUCCUGGAUGACCUAUUGAUGAGAGUGGAUAUUGAAAUCACAGAUUAUGACUGUAUUGGUGUCAAUGUAAAAUUGUUUCUAUGUACAUGAAUAACCCUGUGUAUGCUACAUACAUGCUUAGAAUUAUAAUAUCCUACUGGUGGGUUUUCUAGUUAAUGAAUAAGAAGUAUCCAUCUUUAUCUUUUUUGACUAAUUGAGUUUGAAGUUUUAUAUGUCAGAUAUUAGACUAGCUAAACAUGCUUGUUUCCUGUUUGCAUUUCUUUUUCCUCUAAAGAUGUAUUUGUUGUUAAUACUGAGAAAUGUUUUCUGGACUCAGGAAAUAAAUGGUUCUUGUUUUUUAAUAC
rnacentral:lncRNA from 1 species